CAAAAUGUAGCUUAAUCUAAAGCACUUCGCUUACACCGAAAUCAUGUCUGUUUAACUCAGAUCAUUUUGA
rnacentral:tRNA from 1 species